CAUCACUUAACAAAUGUUUUGCUUAGCAACAGAAAUAUUGGGUUCAAUUGUUGAGAACUACCUGCAGCAGACCUUAAAAACAGAUCAAUAAGAAUAUGGACAUGAUUGAUUUUAAGACACAUAACAUUAACUUAUGUUUCAAAGGCUAUCAUUUUGGGCUGCAAAUUUUGCCAAUAGGUUACAAUAAAGAGAUAGGAAGUCCAAUUUCUUGUACUCCUGUACUGAUCAUAUGGGUUUUUGUAUGCAACUAUGAUAGCCCAAUAUAACAACAUCAGCAGACACGUCUCAAAAUGAUCUGUACAAAAUUAGUCCACCAUUUAAUUGGAGACCUAUGCCAUUCACAUAGGCAUAUGUGAAGAUGUAGAAAAAAAUCUAGAUCUCACUGCUCUCCCCAUGUGGUUCACAUGUGGUGGUGAUAAUUGUUACUGUUAGUCGGGGGUCUUCAAACUUGGCCCUUUUAUAACUUGUGGACUUCAACUGCCAGAAUUCCUCAGCCAGGCAUGGUGGCUGAGGAAUUCUGGGAGUUGAAGUCCACAAGUCAUAAAAGGGCCAUGUUUGAAGACCCCUGCUGUUAGUAAUUGGGAGAUUUAAGCCUGAUAUCAGGAUAUUAAAUCAGAAAUGUCAGCAUAAUCAACUAUCUCUGAUCCUAACUCUAUAAUCCUGGAUUAUGAUCUUGAUACAGAAACAUAGCCUCCAAAUCAGUGAGAAUCUUGACAAAUAGCAGAGAAGCAGAGAAGUGCCUGGUUGCUUAAAGGUGUACCUUAAAGAUGAUGUCUACUUGGGAAUAUGUUUUUUCUUCUAAAUAGCCUGGCUUCUGCAUUUUAUUCCAGCCCAUUAUGUUUGGAGAGAUAUAGCCUCUUCUAGUAUAAAAGCUUUUUGUCUGAGGACAGGGCAAUGCUGGAACAACUUCCAUGACUUUGUGACUUUGAAUGUAUUGAAUUUAUUUCUUGCUUUAACUUCUUGAAUUAUUGCUGCAGUGCUUGAAUUCUGGAACAUUCCCCUCCCCAUUGAAUUACAUUGGCCUCAACCCUGCUGGGCGAUUGCAAAGCAUUGAAAAUCUGGAAGUGAAGAAUAUGAGGGUCAGGCAGUGGUGGGAUUCAGCCAGUUCACACCAGUUCAGCAGAACCGGUAGCUAAUUUUUUGUUGCCCAGGCCCAGAAUGGACUUCAGGAAGUGGCAUCCACACAGAGAACUGGUUGUUUACAUAUUUGAAUCCCACCACUGGAGGCAGGUGAUAAGAUGGCCCUCAUACUGUUGUCCUGAAGAUCACUUUAUCUUAUUCUUGGCAUUCAUAGUAAGUUCUUUAUAUUUUGUUGAAAAUGUUUUUAAUUGUUUUAAUGUGUUGUACGCUAGCCAAAGAUGCCUCUAUGAGAUAUAAGAUGAAUGAAUGAAUGAAUGUAUUAAUUAUUGACUUGACAUCAUCUUGAACAUUGAGAAGCUUUUCUGCCAAAUUACUGAAUCUAUUCUUCAUACUGAACUUCACUAACAAGUCUGGAUGAUUUCUGCUUUUGUUUACAGAUUCCACUGAGUUGAUUUGGGUUGGCUGUGAUUCUAGAGUACAUGACUAUUUAUUAGUCUGUCAUUUGAACCCUAGAGCAGCAGAAGAUGAAGAGAAGAAAGCCUAUCAAAAAUAAUAUAUAUUGGCAGAAGGAAUGCUAUGGUCUAAAGAUAAAUCAAAGCACGUGUAUUAACCAAUCUGUGCUUUGAUGUCUUCUGCUAAUGUGGCAGUUAUAUUUGUAAUUUGAAUGUUUGCAAUUUUCUGGGUUAAAGACAGUGCUUGUUAAAGAUCACAGACUCAAAAUGAGGACUGAAGAUAUUUAUUUUUUUUUUGCAAGAUCUAAUAAAAUGCUGGACAUGAUGAUAUGAAAAGGCUAAGCAGGCCUGAAGACAUCUAGCCUCUCAGGAAUGAACCCAUUAGACCUCUGGCAACUGCUCAACCUUAGUGAACCGUGCAAACCAGCAUCUGCAUUUCCUGUGUUGGAUGAGGAGAACACAGCUCUGUUUUUCUGUCCUGGCCACUUUUUACAGAAGCACAAUUGAGAGCAUUUUAACAAACUGUAUUACUGUCUGGUUGGUGGCAUCAGUGCCUCAGAUAGAAAGCCCACACAAAGAGUAGUAAGGACAGCUGAGAAGAUUGUAGGAAGCUGGUAUACUUGCUGGUAUUCAGGAUGCUGCUUAUAAGCGCUAUGUGCUUAGAGCUCCCACUUUAUGGUCUGUUUCUGUUGUUCCCCUUUGGGAG